rnacentral:rRNA from 1 species
ACCGGCUUUUUGGGAUUCGCUCCACCUUACGGUAUCGCAGCCCUCUGUACCGGCCAUUGUAGCAUGCGUGAAGCCCAAGACAUAAGGGGCAUGAUGAUUUGACGUCAUCCCCACCUUCCUCCGAGUUGACCCCGGCAGUCUCCCAUGAGUCCCCGGCAUAACCCGCUGGCAACAUAGGACGAGGGUUGCGCUCGUUGCGGGACUUAACCCAACAUCUCACGACACGAGCUGACGACAACCAUGCACCACCUGUGUACGAGUGUCCAAAGAGAACCCCGUCUCGGGGGCUUUCUCGUACAUGUCAAGCCUUGGUAAGGUUCUUCGCGUUGCAUCGAAUUAAUCCGCAUGCUCCGCCGCUUGUGCGGGCCCCCGUCAAUUCCUUUGAGUUUUAGCCUUGCGGUCGUACUCCCCAGGCGGGGCACUUAAUGCGUUAGCUGCGGCACGGAACUCGUGGAAUGAGCCCCACACCUAGUGCCCAACGUUUACGGCAUGGACUACCAGGGUAUCUAAUCCUGUUCGCUCCCCAUGCUUUCGCGCCUCAGCGUCAGUUGCGGCCCAGAGACCUGCCUUCGCCAUCGGUGUUCCUCCUGAUAUCUGCGCAUUCCACCGCUACACCAGGAAUUCCAGUCUCCCCUACCGCACUCUAGUCUGCCCGUACCCGAUGCAAGCCCGAGGUUGAGCCUCGGGAUUUCACACCAGACGCGACAGACCGCCUACGAGCUCUUUACGCCCAAUAAUUCCGGACAACGCUUGCGCCCUACGUAUUACCGCGGCUGCUGGCACGUAGUUAGCCGGCGCUUCUUCUGCAGGUACCGUCACUUGCGCUUCUUCCCUGCUGAAAGAGGUUUACAACCCGAAGGCCGUCAUCCCUCACGCGGCGUCGCUGCAUCAGGCUUGCGCCCAUUGUGCAAUAUUCCCCACUGCUGCCUCCCGUAGGAGUCUGGGCCGUGUCUCAGUCCCAGUGUGGCCGGUCGCCCUCUCAGGCCGGCUACCCGUCGACGCCUUGGUAGGCCAUCACCCCACCAACAAGCUGAUAGGCCGCGAGCCCAUCCCCCACCGAAAAACUUUCCAACCCACACCAUGCGAUGCGAGCUCAUAUCCGGUAUUAGACCCCGUUUCCAAGGCUUAUCCCGAAGUGGAGGGCAGGUUGCUCACGUGUUACUCACCCGUUCGCCACUGAUCCACCCAGCAAGCUGGGCUUCACCGUUCGA